AAACGUUACGUUACCUAAUUUAAAAUUUGUUUUCUAACAUCAUAUUAUUUAUAGUGAUAUCCAUCUGCUGUGCACUCCUAAACUUUUUCUCAGAGAUAUUUUCUUUCACUCACGAUGCUCUGGAGCAGAUGGGAAAAUUGGUCUUAACAAGGAAAACACCAAAAAUUGUUCAUGCUGAUUUAACAGAAAAAUCAAAUGGAGAUGAUGUGCUUGAAGAGUGUGAAGCCACCAAUACAUGACUGGAGCCAGAGUCCUUCGGGAUGUUACAGAAGAUGGGACACAGAUGGGAUGUCUGUCCUGCUGCCUGAAUGAAACACAUCAAAGAUGUAUCAUAUGCACACACUGGAGAGUAAGGUGGACACUAUCUCCUUCUCUUUUCUUCAUGACAUGCAUAAUUGACCUACAAUAACACAAGUCACUUCAGCUGUCUGAGAUGCAGAAUAUUAGUUGACUGACUUCAAGAGGUCCCAAGAACAAUAGUUGAUCUGAAAGUUCAAAGUUUCUGCACUGUCACUCAUAUCAUCCUGUAUUGGAAAUGUACGUUUCUAGAAUAAAAUGUGAGUGCAAAACUCAC